UACAGAGGAGCCAAGCGUUGUCCGGAUUGACUGGGCGUAAAGCGCACGCAGGCGGCAUCGCGCGUGGGGUGUGAAAUCUGGCCGCUUAACGGCCAGGCGCCAUCCCAUACGGCGCAACUCGAGCCAUGCAGAGGUCCACGGAAUUGCCGGUGUAGUGGUGAAAUGCGUAGAGAUCGGCAGGAACACCCAGGGGGAAACCAGUGGACUGGGCAUGUGCUGACGCUCAGGUGCGAAAGCGUGGGGAGCGAACCGG
rnacentral:rRNA from 1 species